rnacentral:ribozyme from 1 species
UCAUCGUGCAGAAACAAGUAGAGUUGGUUUGACCAAAGACAGAGCGGAGCGGAAAAAGAAAACAGAACAAAAAGUAUCCAAAUCAUUUCCGCAUUCUUCUAGGAUUUUCAUCUGCUUUUCUUUCACCUUCUUCUU